AGAGUUUGAUCCUGGCUCAGAACGAACGCUGGCGGCGUGGAUAAGACAUGCAAGUCGAACGAGAGAAUUGCUAGCUUGCUAAUAAUUCUCUAGUGGCGCACGGGUGAGUAACACGUGAGUAACCUGCCCCCGAGAGCGGGAUAGCCCUGGGAAACUGGGAUUAAUACCGCAUAGUAUCGAAAGAUUAAAGCAGCAAUGCGCUUGGGGAUGGGCUCGCGGCCUAUUAGUUAGUUGGUGAGGUAACGGCUCACCAAGGCGAUGACGGGUAGCCGGUCUGAGAGGAUGUCCGGCCACACUGGAACUGAGACACGGUCCAGACACCUACGGGUGGCAGCAGUCGAGAAUCAUUCACAAUGGGGGAAACCCUGAUGGUGCGACGCCGCGUGGGGGAAUGAAGGUCUUCGGAUUGUAAACCCCUGUCAUGUGGGAGCAAAUUAAAAAGAUAGUACCACAAGAGGAAGAGACGGCUAACUCUGUGCCAGCAGCCGCGGUAAUACAGAGGUCUCAAGCGUUGUUCGGAAUCACUGGGCGUAAAGCGUGCGUAGGCUGUUUCGUAAGUCGUGUGUGAAAGGCGCGGGCUCAACCCGCGGACGGCACAUGAUACUGCGAGACUAGAGUAAUGGAGGGGGAACCGGAAUUCUCGGUGUAGCAGUGAAAUGCGUAGAUAUCGAGAGGAACACUCGUGGCGAAGGCGGGUUCCUGGACAUUAACUGACGCUGAGGCACGAAGGCCAGGGGAGCGAAAGGGAUUAGAUACCCCUGUAGUCCUGGCAGUAAACGGUGCACGCUUGGUGUGCGGGGAAUCGACCCCCUGCGUGCCGGAGCUAACGCGUUAAGCGUGCCGCCUGGGGAGUACGGUCGCAAGAUUAAAACUCAAAGAAAUUGACGGGGACCCGCACAAGCGGUGGAGUAUGUGGCUUAAUUCGAUGCAACGCGAAGAACCUUACCUGGGCUUGACAUGUAAUGAACAACAUGUGAAAGCAUGCGACUCUUCGGAGGCGUUACACAGGUGCUGCAUGGCCGUCGUCAGCUCGUGUCGUGAGAUGUUUGGUUAAGUCCAGCAACGAGCGCAACCCCUGUUGCCAGUUACCAGCACGUGAAGGUGGGGACUCUGGCGAGACUGCCCAGAUCAACUGGGAGGAAGGUGGGGACGACGUCAGGUCAGUAUGGCCCUUAUGCCCAGGGCUGCACACGUACUACAAUGCCCAGUACAGAGGGGGCCGAAGCCGCGAGGCGGAGGAAAUCCUAAAAACUGGGCCCAGUUCGGACUGUAGGCUGCAACCCGCCUACACGAAGCCGGAAUCGCUAGUAAUGGCGCAUCAGCUACGGCGCCGUGAAUACGUUCCCGGGUCUUGUACUCACCGCCCGUCA
rnacentral:rRNA from 1 species